UUACGACCAUAUCACGUUGAAACACCGGUUCCCGUACGAUCAUCGAAGUUAAGCAACGUUGAGCCUGUUCAGUAUCUAGAUAAGUGACCACUUGGGAGUAACAGAUGCGGUA